rnacentral:lncRNA from 1 species
AGAGAAGCGUCAUGAGCCAGAUUGGUGAAGAAGUUUCUUCUUCGACCGAUUGAUCGAGUUUGCCUUCACUUUUGUCUGUUAAAUUAAAAAAAAAACGUAUUAGUUUAGAUAUUUAUAGCAAAUGAAUGGAAAAAUGAAAAUUUUAUUUAAAAUUGUAAACUUUUUUUAUUAAUAUAUUGUUGAAAUAUAUAUUAUACGUACGAGGUACUUCUCGUCUUGAAAAUGGCCGUAGAGCCACUCCCAUUCAUCCCGAUGGUCCACCAACUCUAUAGGGCACCCAACUGCUAGAGUGACUUCUAGACUGUCAUAUAGCUCAUAAUGCUUUUGGAGGUCAUUAUUGCAUUGAGUGAACCUACUAGAGCAAAGAUCGUUAAUGUACUGCAUUUGAUUGGCAUCGAGGUUAGAGAGCUCAUAAUGAUGUUGUAAAACUCAACAAACAAAUAGUAGUUAAAGUUUAUAAUCUUUGUAUACUUUAAGAACAAUUUAGUUUUUGAGGUUGAAAAUACUUACCAAUAAUUCAUGAAGAGCGGCUUCCUUGACUUCUUGUGGGACAGCUCUCCAUGACUCCUACAUGAGGGGGCAAUGGUUCUUAAUAACUGAACCAAUGUCGAUGGCCAACGCAUUGUGCUGCUCCUUUGUUGCAGCCGCACGAUAUCGAGGAUCCCACGUAAUGGUGAUCUUCUCGGUCGUGGUGCAAGUGGUCUAUGAUGUCUUACGUAGUCUGUAAGGGCCCUUGGUUUUUUUUUUUGGACCUAUCGAAUAAACAAAAUAAACAUUAGGCGAAUUCUAUUUUCUACUGAAAAUUCGAUAGAACAUCCCCUAAAAUUAUAACAUUUCCUAAAACCUGUAGACAAUAUAACAACAAAAACAACACAUCUGCCAAACAAUUCAAA